rnacentral:rRNA from 1 species
CUACGGGCGGCAGCAGUCAAGAAUCUUCCGCAAUGCACGAAAGUGUGACGGAGCGACGCCGCGUGCAGGACGAAGGCCUUCGGGUCGUAAACUGCUUUUAUUAGGGACGAACAAAUGACGGUACCUAAAGAAUAAGGGGUUGCUAACUCUGUGCCAGCAGCAGCGGUAAUACAGAGACCUCAAACGUUGUCCGGAUUUAUUGGGCGUAAAGGGUCCGCAGGCGGUUUUAUAAGUCAUAUGUCAAAUCUUCAGGCUCAACCUGGAGGCUGCGUGUGAUACUGUAAGACUAGAGGAUGGGAGAGGUGCACGGAAUUGCUGGUGUAGCGGUAAAAUGCGUUAAUAUCAGCAAGAACACCAAAGGCGAAGGCAGUGCACUGGAACAUUCCUGACGCUCAGGGACGAAAGCGUGGGUAGCGAAUGGGAUUAGAUACCCGCGUAGUC